UUUGUUAAUUUGAAUGCGGUUAACCGCGGUGGAUUUUCUUAAAAUACUUCAUGCGACGCGCGGGUGUCGCAUGACACAUUUCAGAAUAUUUCAAAUGAAACAUUUCUCUGCUGAAAUUCCACCAAAACAUUGACCAGGCUCACCACACAAAAAGCUCGGUGCAGCAGCUCACCAAAGCGGUAGAUUUUUGACAGCUGUUUGUUUUGUUGUUUUUUUGGUAAUGUUUGCCAAUGAGGAAGCACUGCAGACGCUUCUGCAAGUGUACCGCUAUACCCCAAUCGGCGAUCUCGGAGGCAAGUCUCCGGCGGAAAAGAUGUUCGGCCGGCCAGUCCGGACCAUCUCUGCUCUCCUCCAGCCGACCAAGGACGUUUCGCCAAGCAGCAGCGCUAGGGCGGAGAAGCAGAACGACGCUUUCAAAAUGCACGGCGCGACUCAAUGGACCUUUAGCACGGCGAUGCCGUCUUCGCGCAGGUUCAUCGUGCCAACUCCUGGCAAUAGGAGGUUGGUACCGUGAUCGACGACGCCGACGACGCUUGAUCCGUUAGCACGCGAACCAGCUGAAGCACCGAGUUUGGAGACUACUGCCUCGCCAGAGCCGACGCCGCUCUGAUUGUUCUUCGACCGUUUUGGAUUGGCCGAUCCGGUGGCAGCCACAGUGCCUGCAGCGCCUGGGUUAACUCCUGUUCCAGUGGAAGACAGCGACUUGGAUCUCUCGGACGACAACUCUGAAGAAUCCGACGAUCAGGAGCAGUUUCUGGAGGACGAGGACAUCCGGCACCGUCGAUUGAAAAACAAACCAAAAAAAUAUAAUUCUGAGAUACGUUCACUGGUGCCAAUUUGUCAAACUGACAUUUCUGGGGUACGUUCACAAAAUGCUGCAACAACGGCAGCACUGAACGCACCCACCGCGUGACAAAGCAUGCUACACAAAAAUGUAUCUGGAAAUGUCAAAAUGAAGUAUUUCAUUUACCGCGGUAGACACCGGUGGAUAAUAUUCAAAUUAACAAAAGCCCUUCAGUGUCAAAGUUUCCAGCUAAAAUGGACCAUAUUUUUAGGAACAUUGGCCAUUGUCGGCCUUGGGAAUUAUCCGACGGUCAAGGAUUGCGUGUAAAUGGACAAAACGCAAGAACUCCCGGCGUUCCAGAUUGUGGUCAGCCGUCACAAAUUCCGAAAUUGGGCGUUGACAUUGGCAUUCCGAAGUGUGUUUUCCUACCGAGGACGCGGCGGUGACCGGGCAAGAGUGGAACUGGUCUGUUUUAAAACUUAACGACCAAGCUGGCUAACAACCUGAAUCCGGAAGCAGGCAUCCGCUGUUGGGAGAAUCUUCAGCGGAUAGCAGAUUUCAGCCGAACAAGCGCAAGGAAA